AGAGAGACGUCGGGAGACGCUCUGGGGCAGUAGCUGGCGGCCAGGGAUCCACAUUCCCAAUGCGGAAACCAACCCAACCCAUCAAACAUCCUCUGCAUCUCCAUCGCGUCCUGCUCCGUCCCCACGACUCCUCUUCCCCUAGAGCCCCAGUAGCUUUGUCGCCGAUUCUGCCGACCCUUCUAGCGGGGAAGCGAGGAAGCUCCCACACAUAUCUGACGGUACGGAGAGCUGCUUAUACCCGAGUCAGCGGCGGGGCAGCUGAUGCGAAGCUUCCUUUGCAUAGAUUUGGAUGAACCACUUGAGCUGAGCAAAACACUUUUUCACUGGCUGCCAAGAGUGCUAUUUAGAGAUAUGUCUGUCUGGCUAUGUGUGUGUGUGAGGGGGAAGGAGGGUAAAAGAA